AUUGAACGCUGGCGGCAGGCCUAACACAUGCAAGUCGAACGAGUGGCGGACGGGUGAGUAAUGUCUGGGAAACUGCCUGCUGGAGGGGGAUAACUACUGGAAACGGUAGCUAAUACCGCAUACCCUCGGAUGUGCCCCGAUGGGAUUAGCUAGUAGGUGGGGUAAAGGCUCACCUAGGCGACGAUCCCUAGCUGGUCUGAGAGGAUGACCAGCCACACCGGAACUGAGACACGGUCCAGACUCCUACGGGAGGCAGCAGUGGGGAAUAUUGCACAAAGGGGGCAAGCGUGAUGCGGCCAUGCCGCGUGUAUGAAGAAGGCCUUCGGGUUGUAAAGGACUUUCAGCGGGGAGGCGUUACCCGCAGAAGAAGCACCGGCUAACUCCGUGCCAGCAGCCGCGGUAAUAC
rnacentral:rRNA from 1 species